AUUGAACGCUGGCGGCAUGCUUUACACAUGCAAGUCGAACGGCAGCAUGGGUGCUUGCACCUGAUGGCGAGUGGCGAACGGGUGAGUAAUGUAUCGGAACAUAUCCGCAAGUGGGGGAUAACGUAGCGAAAGUUACGCUAAUACCGCAUAUUCCCUGAGGGGGAAAGGAGGGGAUCCGCAAGGACCUUUCGCUUACGGAGUGGCCGAUAUCAGAUUAGCUAGUUGGUGGGGUAAAGGCCUACCAAGGCGACGAUCUGUAGCGGGUCUGAGAGGAUGAUCCGCCACACUGGGACUGAGACACGGCCCAGACUCCUACGGGAGGCAGCAGUGGGGAAUUUUGGACAAUGGGGGCAACCCUGAUCCAGCCAUGCCGCGUGAGUGAAGAAGGCCUUCGGGUUGUAAAGCUCUUUCAGCUGGAAAAAAAUCGCAUCACCUAAUACGUGGUGUGGAUGAUGGUACCAGCAGAAGAAGCACCGGCUAACUACGUGCCAGCCGCCGCCGUAAUAC
rnacentral:rRNA from 1 species